CUAAAAACCCUCUCUAUAUAACCAAAAUUAGACCUAUACCACCCUAGACUCUAAGACCCUAGGACCUAAAAGCUAGACAAUCCGCCGUUUCUGAGGGGGGAUAUACACAAGACCCUUGAAUAUUCUCCUUCUUUUAUCAACAAAAAUAAAAAAACGCCGAAGAGACCUAGAGUUAGACUUUGUCAGGCAGCCGUUCUUCAUCAUUUUUUGGAGAAACGACUCUGCACAAAAAUGAAGAAACCAUGAGGACCCUUCUUCUUCUUUCUUGAUAAACUAAAACAAAAACCUAGAACCCUAGCCUAAAAAACUAGCCGUCUACUGUUACUGCUGUGACCCCAGCCCGCCACCAAUGACCUUGAGUCGCUGCUUCUCGUUUCACCACUCUCCGCUGCCAAGAAACAAACACACACAUACAGGACAGAACCAGAUCUGACCGGAAACGUAUAGCUCCGGCGACCUUUCAGGUUUGACCCUCUCAAAUUGCAGGUUUCUUCGAAAAAUAGAACCUUGAUCGAGUAUUCUGUUGAGGCUCUAUGCUCGACGUCGUCGCCGGUUUGAGAUUUCCGUCGUCGUCUCCGGGUGACGAGUCUGUUCGUUUUCAAUCUCAUAUAAGUGUUCUUCUUGUAAAUCAGUUGGAAGAUUUUUGAUGUUCUAGAAGUUAUAAAAGAAAUCUCAAAGCAUCAAAGGAAAAUUUGACUGAAUGUAUACUGUGAAUGCCUCUUAAAACAAAAUGAGAAGUCAAAUACGUUUACAAAGUUUUCUUCAUAGCCUUCUUCAUGGGAUCAGGUACUGUCUUAAACGAGGUCAAGCAAAAAUAUUUUUUAUUUAAAUAAUUACAAAAAGUUAUUUCGUUUGUUGCACUCCUGUGUUAUACAUGAUUUUGCAUUCAGAUCAAAUGUUCCUUUGCUGAAGUAAACUAAUUCAAUUAUGAUUAUUGUCAUUAUUAUUAUUUUUUUAUGCCUCAUUUAGUUUUAGUUGUUUACAGGUUUGAGUUUGAACGCUAGUUUAAAGGAAUGUGCGAUUUCAUUUUUAUUUGUUUUCGUUCGUUCAUUGUUUUAUGUGCGCUCCAGUAGGUCGGGUCAUCGGGGUUGGGCUUUAGUGUGAUGUGAUGAAUGUGUCCUAUUUGAUUAUUAUUAGUUUAAUAUAUCAAGGUAGCAAGGUAGUUAUUAAAAUGAAUAUUCGUAGAAAGGCCUUUAGGCGCGUUUAAAAUACCAUCGUGAUUAUGUAUACGUUCGCAUAACAUAAUUACGAUUCUAAAAACUAAUUUGGAGUAUGUGUUCGCAUAACUUCGAUCAAAUUCUUCUUGAUAAUAAAUUGGUUUUAAUAGGCCGCUAAAUUAAUUUAGGUUUAUAUAGUCCGAGGUGUACCAUCCACAAUUUAAUUAUUCAUGCCCCUCAUAUUAAUAACCUAGAUAUAAAGAUGAUAAAUGUUCGUAGUUUACUUUAGGCACGUUAAUAUACCAUCGUGAUUACGUACACGUUCGCAUGACAUGAUUACGAUUUUAAGAACAAAACCGGAGUAUGCGUUCGCGCAACUUCGGCCGAACUUUCUUAAUAAUAAUAAAGUGUUACUAAUUGUGGACACGUUUGCGCGACAUGAUUUUUGACGCGCCAAACAAAUGGGUACACGUGCGCGUGAUCCCUUUCAAGAUAAUUUCUUAAUUAAAAGAGGCAAAUGCACAUAGGUUCUAAAAUCAGUAACCAAUUAAUUUGUUUACGCCAAGUAUGAUCAAAGCGACCGUGUUAGAACCACGGAACUCAGGAAUGCCUAGCACCUUCUUCCGGAUUAACAAAAUUCCUUAUUCGGAUUUCUGUGUUCGAAGACAUAAACAGAGUCAACUUUCUCGAUUUAGGAUUUUAAACCGGUGACUUGAGACACCAUAAAUUAUCCCAAGUGGCGACUCUGAUCUUUAAUAAAUAAUCCUGUUUCGAUUAUCACUUAAAUUGGAAAAAAACUCUCUUAUACCCUUUCGGGGGUAGUAAAAAGGAGGUGUGACAAAUAGUAUGGUUGAACUCGUAAUUGAAUGGAUUGACAGACGUUAUGAGUUUUGUCAGGUUCCGAGGUGCGGGCUCGGUUGGACUUUUUGAUCGAUUUUGGGCUUUUGAUUAAAGAUUCGAUCUUUCAAUUGGAAUUGGUUCCUUUAGCAUUGUUUGAUGUAUUUGAGUUGUUUUUGAUUAGUUUCGAGUCGUUCACGGGUCAGAACGCGCGUUAUGGCAUUCUUGGAACUUCGCUUGGCUUGCUUGGUGUCAGAAUUGGCUUGUAUAAGAUAAGUAACUCUUCUAAACUUAUUGCUGAGAGUAUGAAACCCCGAAUUAUGUGUUAUGUGAUUGAUGUUGAGGUGACGCACAUGCUAAGUGACGGGCGUGUGAGCGUGCACCUUGUAAGUUGUGACUCUGUUGUUUCCAAGGCACUGUUUAGUGGCCCAAUUUGUUGAUAUUUGUGUUUUUCACCAUGUGAUAAAGUAACUGAGCUGUACAUCAUGCUAGAUAUCAUGUUUAAGUUUUAUGCUGAUGUUGUUGGGACCCCAAGCGACCGUUUCUUGCUAUCAUCUUAUUGAAUUCAUUGAUAUUUCGUACUCAGUCACAUUCAUGCAUUCAUAUCAUAUCUUAGUUGUUACUUAUUGAUAUAUCAUAUCAUUGUUCCGGGUCAGUUUUCAUGACAAUGUGAGCUCAUGGGUGAGACUGGAGAGAUUGAUGACUGAGUGAGGCCGAGAGCCUGAUUAUGAGAGAGAGUUAUGGGAUUGGGCUGCACGCCGCAGCAUGUUUUAUUGAUUAUUGAGUAAGGCUAAACUGAAAUGAGGAUGCAGACUCGUGGAGAAGUUCAGCUUUGGUUUGAACCCAAGAGUUUGAAUACUUCUCUCCGUCAGACUUAAACUGAGGGUUUGGAAAAUUUUCUUCCCUUUAGGCGAAUAAAAAGUUCGAUACCCUUGUUCCAAUUAUUCCUUUGAUUGGAUCAUUAGCUAAAGCAAACUUUUGUACCGUAUUAGGAAUGAACCAUUUCUUUUAUUUUUGUGGAAAGAGAUUAUGUUCAAGUAAGCAAAUAUGUCAUGGUUCUAGGGGCCUGAUUGAUUUAUAUCAUGAUUGGCUUGUUAUAGUGAUUCGGCUGAAGGAGCCCCUCCAGAGUCUGCCUACUACCAGUGAGCGCAGUUGAUUAUAUUCAAGGAUGGAUCUUCCCUUGGUACGAAGAUGGAUCUUCUCCAUGAGGCUGGAUUAGCAUGUUUCCUCGGUACUGGGUGACUUAUAAUCAGUGAUGUAUAUAUUCCGAGAUGGAUCUUCCCAAGGCCGUAUGAGCCAUAUACAGUACCGAGUGGUUGAUUAUGAUGAGUGGAAGGUGUGAUACAGUAAGGCUGAGUACUCUAAGAGUGUGCGUACGUGAUUCAUUUCUGAGGUACAUGACAUUAACAUGUAUAUAUGACAUACAUGCAUAGAGACGCAUUUUUCUCAUGAUGUACGGUAUCACAUCAUUCAUGACUUUUUACACAUAUUGAUAUGUGGGCAUAUAGUGGUAUUUCACACUUAUUACUUGGAAAGGAAAUGAAAGAUUUUUAUCGUGGAAAGGAUUUUUAUCGAUAAAGAUUUCGAUAAAGGAUUUGGGCUUUUACUGAUAUCCUUGAAAAGAGGAACUAUUUUCAGAAAACUAUGCAAAAGUUGAACAUUUUUUUUAUCUCUAAGAUUGUUUCCUUUGUUUAUAUGCUCUACGUUGUAUGAACUGUUGUUGGUUAUUGGUGUUGGACCCGACCAAUGUUCCAGCUCGUCACUGCUUUCAACUUGAGGUUAGGUUUAUUACUUUUUGAGUACAUGGUAUCGGUUGUACUCAUACUGCACUUCUUUCACAUUGCGUGCAGAUCCCGGAUGCCGAUGUUGCUGCGUUCGAUGGUUGCUGGAUUCGAAGGCGUACUUGCGUUCCUGCUGUAGCUGCCUCUUGUUUACGAUAGCCUUAGAUCAUAAAAAUUCUGUUUAUGUACUUUUCAAACAGAAGACGUAUUUUCUUCAUAUCAACUUUUUAAACUCUAUUCUUAGAAACUCAUAAUUUGUACUUCCAGACCCGGUCCUUGGGAUAGAUCCAGAUAAUUCAUAUUGGUUAAUUGACAUUAGAAAUAUUUAAAUUAGAUAGUUAUCAGUUGGCUUACCUAGCCGGUUGAGAUUACGUGUAAUCAUGACGAGUGGAUUUUGGAUCGUGACAAAUAUGAAUAGAAAAUAAAAAUCCUGAAAAAUG
rnacentral:lncRNA from 1 species